AUUGAACGCUGGCGGCAUGCUUUACACAUGCAAGUCGAACGGUAACAGGCCUUCGGGUGCUGACGAGUGGCGAACGGGUGAGUAAAGCAUCGGGACGUACCCAGAGGUGGGGGAUAACGCAGCGAAAGCUGUGCUAAUACCGCAUGUGAUCUGAGGAUGAAAGCGGGGGACCGAUCAGCAAUGGUUGGCCUCGCGCCUUUGGAGCGGCCGAUGUCGGAUUAGCUAGUUGGUGGGGUAAAGGCCUACCAAGGCGACGAUCCGUAGCUGGUCUGAGAGGACGACCAGCCACACUGGGACUGAGACACGGCCCAGACUCCUACGGGAGGCAGCAGUGGGGAAUUUUGGACAAUGGGCGCAAGCCUGAUCCAGCAAUGCCGCGUGCGGGAAGAAGGCCUUCGGGUUGUAAACCGCUUUUGGCAGGAACGAAAAGCUCUGGGCGAAUAUCCUGGGGUGAUGACGGUACCUGCAGAAUAAGCACCGGCUAACUACGUGCCAGCAGCCGCGGUAAUACGUAGGGUGCGAGCGUUAAUCGGAAUUACUGGGCGUAAAGCGUGCGCAGGCGGUUGUGUAAGACAGGCGUGAAAUCCCCGGGCUCAACCUGGGAAUGGCGCUUGUGACUGCACGGCUGGAGUGCGGCAGAGGGGGAUGGAAUUCCGCGU
rnacentral:rRNA from 1 species